rnacentral:rRNA from 1 species
AUUGAACGCUGGCGGCAGGCCUAACACAUGCAAGUCGAGCGGUAGAGAGAAGCUUGCUUCUCUUGAGAGCGGCGGACGGGUGAGUAAUGCCUAGGAAUCUGCCUGGUAGUGGGGGAUAACGUUCGGAAACGGACGCUAAUACCGCAUACGUCCUACGGGAGAAAGCAGGGGACCUUCGGGCCUUGCGCUAUCAGAUGAGCCUAGGUCGGAUUAGCUAGUUGGUGAGGUAAUGGCUCACCAAGGCGACGAUCCGUAACUGGUCUGAGAGGAUGAUCAGUCACACUGGAACUGAGACACGGUCCAGACUCCUACGGGAGGCAGCAGUGGGGAAUAUUGGACAAUGGGCGAAAGCCUGAUCCAGCCAUGCCGCGUGUGUGAAGAAGGUCUUCGGAUUGUAAAGCACUUUAAGUUGGGAGGAA